AACGAACGCUGGCGGCAUGCCUAACACAUGCAAGUCGAACGAGACCUUCGGGUCUAGUGGCGCACGGGCGCGUAACGCGUGGGAACCUGCCCUUAGGUUCGGAAUAACUCCCCGAAAGGGGUGCUAAUACCGGAUAAUGUCUUCGGACCAAAGAUUUAUCGCCUUUGGAUGGGCCCGCGUUGGAUUAGCUAGUUGGCAGGGUAAAAGCCUACCAAGGCGACGAUCCAUAGCUGGUCUGAGAGGAUGAUCAGCCACACUGGGACUGAGACACGGCCCAGACUCCUACGGGAGGCAGCAGUGGGGAAUAUUGGACAAUGGGCGAAAGCCUGAUCCAGCAAUGCCGCGUGAGUGAUGAAGGCCUUAGGGUUGUAAAGCUCUUUUACCCGGGAUGAUAAUGACAGUACCGGGAGAAUAAGCUCCGGCUAACUCCGUG
rnacentral:rRNA from 1 species